UUCGUCUUCCCAACAUUCAAUGCGUCAGUCAACACCAACUGGACAUAUAAACAGCAAUGUUUGUAAGCUAUAUAGCAAUGAAAUAUUUAAAUGUGUGAUAGGUUUGUCCAGUGAUGAAAUUGUAAGCAGAAAAGUUGCCCUAGCUGUCUAUGAAUAUUAGCCACUUGGAUGAUAAAGCUGCAAUUCCAGGCAUUAGCGCAGCCAUAAGGCUCCCGACAGAGGCAAAAGAAACAAACGACAUCACGUCUCAGAUAAGCAAACUCUCGUUUCGGGGUAGCAAUCGACUCACUUUUGUGAAACAACACAGUAGACUAGAACAGUAUCAGUUCCAUGAUUGUUAUAAAGAGGUGAUGCUUUGAUUAUAAUAGAGAAACUCUUCCUGCAGUAUCAUUAUAAUACCGCAAGAAGAUAAUUUCUCGAUUCCAUACAGGCUGUUCCAUUUAUUUACAAUGCUCUCAUUGAUGCAAACAUAAUUCUUGUUUUAGCAAAACUGAAAUUAAGGGAAUAAAUCGACAUUUUUAUUU